AUUAUGAGCUAAUCUGCUAUGAACAUUCUUGUACAAGUAUUUGUGGAGAAAGAUGUCUUUUCUUGGGCAUACUGAUAUGUGGUGAAAAGGAGACAGACAGGAAAUUAUAUAAUUUCUGGCAGUAGAAAACAGAACGAUGUGAUAGAACAGUGGUUACAAACUAGAGCGCUCCUUGUCUAUAUUAGAAUAAGUGGAAUUGGAAGCAGAAUGAGAAGCAAGACUUUAUUUUCACAAACAACAAUAAUUAUUUAGAAGGAAAUAUUUGUUACCUACCCUUGAAGCUCAGGUACCUAUUUGGCUUAUAACUUCCUCUGGAUAAUUAUCUCAGUUGAUCUUAUCUGGCUAUUAUCUCAA